rnacentral:rRNA from 1 species
GACGAACGCUGGCGGCGUGCUUAACACAUGCAAGUCGAACGGAAAGGCCCUGCUUUUGUGGGGUGCUCGAGUGGCGAACGGGUGAGUAACACGUGAGUAACCUGCCCUUGACUUUGGGAUAACUUCAGGAAACUGGGGCUAAUACCGGAUAGGAGCUCCUGCUGCAUGGUGGGGGUUGGAAAGUUUCGGCGGUUGGGGAUGGACUCGCGGCUUAUCAGCUUGUUGGUGGGGUAGUGGCUUACCAAGGCUUUGACGGGUAGCCGGCCUGAGAGGGUGACCGGCAACAUUGGGACGGAGAGAGGGCCCAGAAUCCAACGGGAGGCAGCAGUGGGGAAUAUUGCAAAAUGGGCGGAAGCCUGAUGAAGAAAGGCCGCGUGCGGGAUGAGGGCCUUCGGGUUGUAAACCGCUUUGGCAUGUGACGAAGCGUGAGUGACGGUAAUGGGUAAAGAAGCACCGGCUAACUACGUG